GACGAACGCUGGCGGCGUGCUUAACACAUGCAAGUCGAACGGAAAGGCCCUGCUUGCAGGGUACUCGAGUGGCGAACGGGCGAGUAACACGUGGGUGAUCUGCCCUGCACUUCGGGAUAAGCCUGGGAAACUGGGUCUAAUACCGGAUAGGAGCCAUUUUUAGUGUGAUGGUUGGAAAGUUUUUUCGGUGUAGGAUGAGCUCGCGGCCUAUCAGCUUGUUGGUGGGGUAAUGGCCUACCAAGGCGGCGACGGGUAGCCGGCCUGAGAGGGUGGACGGCCACAUUGGGACUGAGAUACGGCCCAGACUCCUACGGGAGGCAGCAGUGGGGAAUAUUGCACAAGGGGCGCAAGCCUGAUGCAGCGACGCCGCGUGGGGGAUGACGGCCUUCGGGUUGUAAACUCCGUUCGCUAGGGACGAAGCUUUUUGUGACGGUACCUAGAGAAGAAGCACCGGCUAACUACGUG
rnacentral:rRNA from 1 species